rnacentral:rRNA from 1 species
CCUACGGGUGGCAGCAGUCGAGAAUCAUUCACAAUGGGGGAAACCCUGAUGGUGCGACGCCGCGUGGGGGAAUGAAGGUCUUCGGAUUGUAAACCCCUGUCAUGUGGGAGCAAAUUAAAAAGAUAGUACCACAAGAGGAAGAGACGGCUAACUCUGUGCCAGCAGCCGCGGUAAUACAGAGGUCUCAAGCGUUGUUCGGAAUCACUGGGCGUAAAGCGUGCGUAGGCUGUUUCGUAAGUCGGGUGUGAAAGGCGCGGGCUCAACCCGCGGACGGCACAUGAUACUGCGAGACUAGAGUAAGGGAGGGGGAACCGGAAUUCUCGGUGUAGCAGUGAAAUGCGUAGAUAUCGAGAGGAACACUCGUGGCGAAGGCGGGUUCCUGGACAUUAACUGACGCUGAGGCACGAAGGCCAGGGGAGCGAAAGGGAUUAGAUACCCCAGUAGUC